UGCCCAGCAACUCCUAUCCCUACCUCCACGCGGUACCGGCCGGAAACUAUGAGCAACCUUAGGGAUGAUCGGGUAACCAACCCCGGUGGGAACUUUGGUCGUAGGCUGACAGGGAAGG
rnacentral:ribozyme from 1 species